rnacentral:rRNA from 1 species
CCUACGGGAGUCAGCAGUGGGGAAUAUUGCGCAAUGGGCGAAAGCCUGACGCAGCGACGCCGCGUGAGGGAUGAAGGUCUUCGGAUCGUAAACCUCUGUCAGCAGGGAAGAAAGGUCACUGUGCUAAUCAGCAGUGAAUUGACGGUACCUGCACAGGAAGCACCGGCUAACUCCGUGCCAGCAGCCGCGGUAAUACGGAGGGUGCGAGCGUUAAUCGGAAUUAAUGGGCGUAAAGCGACCGUAGGCGGUAUGUCAAGUCAAGGGUGAAAUCCCAGCGCUGAACGUGGGAACUGCCUUUGAAACUGGUAAACUGGAGUGUGUGAGAGGAUAGUGGAAUUCCAGGUGUAGGAGUGAAAUCCGUAGAUAUCUGGAGGAACAUCAGUGGCGAAGGCGACUAUCUGGCACAUAACUGACGCUGAGGAGCGAAAGCGUGGGUAGCAAACAGGAUUAGAUACCCUAGUAGUC